GACGAACGCUGGCGGCGUGCCUAAUACAUGCAAGUAGAACGCUGAAGGAGGAGCUUGCUUCUCUGGAUGAGUUGCGAACGGGUGAGUAACGCGUAGGUAACCUGCCUGGUAGCGGGGGAUAACUAUUGGAAACGAUAGCUAAUACCGCAUAACAGUAGAUAUCGCAUGAUAUCUACUUGAAAGGUGCAAUUGCAUCACUACCAGAUGGACCUGCGUUGUAUUAGCUAGUUGGUGAGGUAACGGCUCACCAAGGCGACGAUACAUAGCCGACCUGAGAGGGUGAUCGGCCACACUGGGACGGGGACACGGCCCAGACUCCUACGGGAGGCAGCAGUAGGGAAUCUUCGGCAAUGGACGGAAGUCUGACCGAGCAACGCCGCGGGAGUGAAGAAGGUUUUCGGAUCGUAAAGCUCGGUUGUAAGAGAAGAACGAGUGUGAGAGUGGAAAGUUCACAAUGUGACGGUAUCUUACCAGAAAGAGACGGCUAACUACGUG
rnacentral:rRNA from 1 species